GAGAGAGCAUCAACCCCCAAAUGGGCUACUUCAACUGCUACAAAUCCCGAAAUAAAAAUAGGAACAUAUCACCAUAGACUUUGUAACAGGAUUGCCGAAGGCAUGUUUUAGUCACGAUGUGAUCUGGGUAAUUAUCAAUCGACUCACUAAGUCUUCCCACUUCCUAGUUGUCAGAAUAACAUACUCCUUAGAUAAGCUAGCUAGUAUUUAUAUUGGAGAGAUAAUCAGGUU
rnacentral:lncRNA from 1 species